GCAUCCAUGGCUGAGUGUUAAGCACCCAACUCAUAAUUGGACGUAAUUCGUAGGUUCAAUUCCUACU
rnacentral:tRNA from 1 species